rnacentral:rRNA from 1 species
GACGAACGCUGGCGGCGUGCUUAACACAUGCAAGUCGAACGAUGAAGAAAAGAAUCGAAGCUUCGGCAGAAAUUCAUUUCGGAUUAGUGGCAGACGGGUGAGUAACGCGUGAGCAACCUACCUCUUACAAAGGGAUAGCCUCGGGAAACCGGGAUUAAUACCAUAUAACAUUGUGACGAAGCAUUUCGAUGCAAUCAAAGCUACGGCGGUAAGAGAUGGGCUCGCGUCCCAUUAACCGGAUGGUGAGGUAACGGCUCACCAUAGUGACGAUGGGUAACCGGCCUGAGAGGGUGAACGGUCACACUGGAACUGAGACACGGUCCAGACUCCGACGGGAGGGAGCAGUGGGGAAUAUUGCACAAUGGAGGGAACUCUGAUGCAGCGACGCCGCGUGAGUGAUGAAGGAAUUCGUUUCGUAAAACUCUGUUCUAUGGGAAGAAAAGGACGGUACCAUAGGAGAAAGCUCCGGCUAAAUACGUG